UACAGAGGUCUCAAGCGUUGUUCGGAUUCAUUGGGCGUAAAGGGUGCGUAGGCGGCGCGGUAAGUCGGGUGUGAAAUCUCGGAGCUUAACUCCGAAACUGCAUUCGAUACUGCCGUGCUUGAGGACUGGAGAGGAGACUGGAAUUUACGGUGUAGCGGUGAAAUGCGUAGAUAUUAGGAAGAACACCGGUGGCGAAGGCGGCCCACUGGUCCGGUACUGACGCUGAGGUGCGAAAGCGUGGGGAGCAAACAGG
rnacentral:rRNA from 1 species